CCUAACACAUGCAAGUCGAGGGAGAAGUCACUUCGGUGACGGAAACCGGCGCACGGGUGAGUAACACGUAGCUACCUGCCCCGAAGAGAGGGAUAACAGUUGGAAACAACUGCUAAUACCUCAUACCCUCGCAAGAGGAAAGCUCCGGCGCUUCGGGAUGGGGCUGCGAGCCAUCAGCUAGAUGGUGGGGUAAAGGCCCACCAUGGCGACGACGGCUAGGGGACCUGAGAGGGUGACCCCCCACACUGGGACUGAGACACGGCCCAGACUUCUACGGAAGGCAGCAGUGAGGAAUAUUGCACAAUGGGCGCAAGCCUGAUGCAGCGACGCCGCGUGGGUGAAGAAGGAUUUCGGUCUGUAAAGCCCUUUUCUGCGUGACGAGAGUGGACGGUAGCGCAGGAAUAAGUCUCGGCUAACUACGUGCCAGCAGCCGCGGUAAAACGUAGGAGGCAAGCGUUAUCCGGAGUUACUGGGCGUAAAGCGCGUGCAGGUGGAUUGUUAAGUCACUUAUGAAAGCUCCCGGCUAAACUGGGAGAGGCUGAGUGAAACUGGCAGUCUUGAGUAGAGGAGAGGUAGACGGAAUUCCGCGUGUAGUGGUGAAAUGCGUAGAGAUGCGGAAGAACACCAGUGGCGAAGGCGGUCUACUGGCCUCUAACUGACACUCAGACGCGAAAGCAUGGGUAGCGAACGGGAUUAGAAACCCCGGUAGUCCAUGCCGUAAACGAUGCACACUAGACGUUCGCAGUCAAUGGCUGUGGGUGUCGCAGCAAACGCGAUAAGUGUGCCGCCUGGGGAGUACGGUCGCAAGGCUAAAACUCAAAGGAAUUGACGGGGGCCCGCACAAGCAGCGGAGCGUGUGGUUUAAUUCGAGGAUACGCGAAGAACCUUACCUGGGUUUGACAUAGCGGUGGUAAGAGGCAGAGAUGCUUCUGACCCUUCGGGGAGCCGUUACAGGUGCUGCAUGGUUGUCGUCAGCUCGUGCCGUGAGGUGUUCGGUUAAGUCCGCAAACGAGCGCAACCCUCGGCGUUAGUUACAAGUGUCUAGCGCAACUGCCCGUGGUAAACGGGAGGAAGGUGGGGAUGACGUCAAAUCAGCAUGGCCUUUAUAUCCAGGGCUACACACACGCUACAAUGGCGCAUACAAUGGGUAGCGAAGCCGCGAGGUGGAGCCAAUCUCGAAAGUGCGUCUCAGUUCGGAUUGCAGGCUGCAACUCGCCUGCAUGAAGUCGGAGUUGCUAGUAACCGUGUAUCAGCACGGCACGGUGAAUACGUUCCCGGGCCUUGCACACAC
rnacentral:rRNA from 1 species